CUUUGGGCCUGAAGAGGCAAGAGAGGGGGGUGUGGUUAUCAGAACGCAGAAGGAGAGCUGUAGUUUUGGAGAGAGCCAUGCUUGGGAGCCGUGGCCCUCAGUGGCGGAACGCAGCUACCACCAACCUCAGCCCAAAAGAGUGAGCCAGAGUAAAUACCCACCCAAUCAUCUCCUGUGGACGUUUCCACUGGCCAGACUCGCCCAGAGCCAGACGGUAAGGGAGCCCACUGAUGUAGUCCUCAGGAGUCACCUUCCAGGGCUCAGAGCAGAGCGAAGAAGCCUGGAGUGGACCUGGAGGGACGAAACAGCAUAUCCAGCACUGCAUCCAUUACUCAGAAACCCCUACCCUGCCUCACACUUCUUAAGAGCAUUCACCACUGCCCAACAACUUACUAUGCAUUAAAUCAUCUUGUUCUGUUUUGCUCUCUCAACCCCACUAGACCCAUGACGGUGGGAUGGGGUCCUUGUGGGGGUUGGUUUGCUUUCCAUUCCCAUCUCUGAGGUUCCUAGAACAAUGCUGGCAUGUGGCAGGAACUCAAGUAGUCGGUGAAUAAAUGACUGAAUGAGGCUGGUGUCAUUAUCCCAUUUUAAAAUUGGAAAGACCGAGGCUUAAGGUGACUUGGGGCCCCUCGGGGGCACAGCAGGAGUCACAGCCGGGUCUUGUGAGCCCCAGGCUCUGUUCCUUUCCCCACCCCACAGAAGAACAAGACACAACUGCCUGAGAGGGUUAUCUGGUGCUUCGGACGUCACUCUGGGCGCAGAGCGUCCUUCCGGGCCCUUCCGUAUCCAUGCGCUUUGCUCAACGCCUCUAGCACUGUGUGGCUUUAUUCAAAGUCUAGCAUGGCUUAAAACCCUGUUAUGCCUCAAUAAAAUUAGCAGAUUAGUCAAAGUAUUUUUCUCAGUCCUUCGUGUUUGCUGCUAAGAACGCUUUCAUCCUGGUGGCCCUUGCUUAGAGAAGAUACUCACCCCUUCCCCCAGCUCUGCUUUUGAUUUCGGAGCCAUGAGGAGCUUGCAGAGCUCACUGAGGUCAGCACACCCUCAGACAAGGCCAUGCUCGUGGCCCAGGGCCGAGAGCCCCCGUGCCCAGCGGCCCCUCUCUUCUGCAUUCUGCUCUGAGAGUUGCCUUAUUCAAAGGGGCAUCGUGCCAGGGAGGAGGUCCUGGGCUCUGUGGGACCAGGCUUCCUCCAGUGCCCGGACCCUGCAGAGCAUCCGCACCGGGCGGGGAGGGGCGUUGCCGACACUGCGCUUUGCGUGGGCUUCCCACCCCUACUCCCCGGCUCCUCGGACAAAACCCAUUAUUCCGGUCUAGGUGACUUCAGCACCUGCAGGCACCAGCACGCUCCGCACUUGCAGCCAGAUGAUUAGGCACCUGUUGGGGUCACUGUGGACGUGGCUGGCUCCGAGGGUUGGGGAUUAAAAUGAAGUGGCCACAUCAGUCCGGUUCAGCUACACUGGCCUUUAGCAAAGCGAGGCCAUCGUCCCCUCAUUCAGCAUAAGCCUCUGCUCAUUUCCGUCCCCUGUCAGCAAACAUUCCUGCCCCGGCUCCAGGGCCUGCAAGACCCACCUCUGCAUCUCUUUGGGGAACCAGGCUCCCUGUGGCCCCUGGCCUUCCAGGCCUCGAUUCCUCCCCGUGAGGGAUCCCAGGGCCAGUCCCCUCAGGCUGAUGGGGAUCCCAAGGCCGGUCCCCUCAGGCUGAUGGGGAUGAGGUUGCCGGGCUGUGGACCCCUCUGCCCCACCUUCUGAGCCAGGCCUGCUCCAGCCCUGCCUCCCCAGGGGCAGCACGCCCCCAGCUUAUCCCCCCAGGCCCCACAGACUCCCCGGCUGAUCCUCUGGUCCAGGGAGCCCCCGGCAGCAGCUGGCCUUCUUUUCUCACCAGCCUCUCUUCUUCCCUCUUCCCCGGAGCCAGCCUGGGUGCACCUUAUUCUGGUGGGAGCCUCAGAGCUCUUACUUUACCUCAUCUAACCUCUCUUCAGCUCGGAGGAAGAGGGAAAGAUGGAAGGAGGAGAACAGAGCGUGGCAGGUCAGAGGGAGGCAUACGCUGGGCGUCUAAAUGUCGCCCUCGCCACACUCCCUGCCCUGCUGAAUAGAGAAAACAGAGGUGCCUUCAGGCCUUUUUCAAAUCAAGAUUUUAUUAAAAAGAAACACAGUUUCAAUCACCAAGCAAACAAUUCUCGAAGACAUUUUCUAGAAUGAUGAGGAUGAUAAUACAAGCUCUCGUGUUGGAGGGACCCGAGCUGCGGGUUCUGCAUCCAUCACUCUUGCCACCCCGUGGACUGUGAGACAGACCCCCCCCCAGAAAAACGGGGAACAGGUUGGGAGAAGGCCGGUGGCCUGUCCAAGGACACGGAGGGUGGGAGGAGGGGUGCUGUGGUUCGUGCUGAGGCCGGGGCAGGGGAGGUCUCUGGCGCUCUUCCUGGGAUGGCUCACGACAGGAUCCCCACUCAGACCAAGGCAGGCAGAGGAUGGGAGAGCCUCGUUAGGCAUCUGCUACGGGAAGCUGUUCUGACUUCUGAGGCUAAGGGACGACCACAGGGAAUCCCUACACUGGGUCUCCGUUUUCCAUUUCUCCCUGGAUCAGAGGUGUGACCACAUCACACGUGUUUGCCCAGCGCCGCUUGAAUAGCAAGCUGGCGAAAUAGAAAUAUCUUUGUGAAAAUAUGAACACACUUUUAUUUACCAAAAGUAAACGAAACCUUUUCCUGGUUUGAAGAUUUCCAUUCUUCUGCCUCUCCGUCUCCUCCUCUCAGCUUGCUUUGAUUGCCCAUAACAUUAACCUUCAGAAAGAAACGAGGGUAAACAACCUGGCAAAUCCAAGUAGCUGAUUCCCCGGCCGCAUCCUCCUCGGUCAGGCAGGGCACACGCUGCAGGCCCUCGCGGGAGUCACCCGACGGGGAGGCCCGUGUGGGCCUGCCGCCCACCCCGCUCCCUGUCCUUUGGGGGCAGGGAGUUCCUUGCUGGCUUUGGGGCACCGUGAAGCUCGCAUACCUAAUACUUCAUUGAGCCUUCCCUCUGUCUGGCUGCCUUGGAAGGCUCAGCCGGAGCUCUGUGCUCCUGGCUCUGGGACAGGAAGAAAAGGAAGGGAAAGGUCUUCCAGGCAGGACUUGUUAUUGCUGUAGAAACGGUCACGGUCGGCAUUCCUUUCGGGGAUGUUGUGUUAAUAGGGGAUGGCUGGGGGCGCCUGGGUGGCUCAGUUGUUAAGCGUCUGCCUUCGGCUCAGGUCAUGAUCCCAGGGUCCUGGGAUCGAGCCCCGCAUCGGGCUCCCCGCUUGGCAGGAAGCCUGCUUCUCCCUCUCCCACUCCCCCUGCUUGUGUUCCUGCUCUCGCUAUCUCUCUCUCUGUCAAAUAAAUAAAUAAAAUCUUUAAAAAAAAAAAAAAAUAGGGGAUGGCUGUUUUUUGGGAACUAUCGCCUUCAAGUAGGGUGACUCUUUCCCAGGUUAUGUAAAAGGGCAUUAGGCAAACACUCGGAAAGUCGGCAGCUUCCUUUCUCGGGAGUGUAAACAGUGGGCAGACAGGCUAGGUGCCCUCCAGCAGCAGGCUUGCAGAAUGCCCAUUGGCUGCAGCUGCCUUGCUGAUCAGCCCUCAGUCUGGAUAAUAUCAGCAGUACUAACGGUGACAGCUUUUUCUGAGAUACUUUGCUUCUUCAGAGAGUAUUAAAGAUGUUUUGAAUCUAUUUUUUAGGAAUCUUGAAACCACCAGUGGGACAUUUUUGCUGUUGUGGGUAAUGCAUGAGCAGCCGCUUGGGAAGGCCGGGCCAGGAGAAGCACCCAAGGGUGUUGGAAGCACAGAAGACACUGCCCAUUUAGUCUGAACAGCUACGAAGCAAGCGAGGCAGAGCAUAUGCUGGGAUGUGGGAGCAGAUGUGGCUGGGAAGCGGCUUAUUUAUUUGAUUUGCUGGGGGCGGGGGUGGAGGAGAGGCAGACCCUGCCUCUCCUGGGAUUGGGCAGUAUUUACUGGCAAGGCAGAACCAGCGGAAAAGUUCUGUAAUCAUGGAAGGAAUUCUCAAGCCCUGCUUAGUAUUGUUUGGGGUUUUUUUUUUCCCCCCUGCCUGGACUCUCCCUACCCAGAGCACAGAUUCAUACAAAAAUUGCAACAAGAGGCGAUAUAAUUGUGAAAUUUGUAGUAGAUAGUGUAACGGUUAAUUUUAUGUGUCCCCUGGACUGGGCCAAGGGAGGCCAAGAUAUCUGGCCAAGUAUUAUUCUCGAUGUGUCUGUGAGGGUGUGUUUCUGGCUAAGAUUAACAUUUGAAUCAGUGGAAUGAAUAAAGCAGAUUGCUCUCCCUAAUGUGGGUGGGCUUUAUAUAAUCAGUUGAAGGUCUAAAUAGAGCAGAAAGGCUAACCCUCACACAAAUAAGGAACUCCUCCUGCCUGACAGCUUGAGCUGGAACAUUGGGUUUUUUCCUGCCUUCAGACCAAAACAUUGGCUCUUCUUGGGCCUCAAGCCUGCUAGCUUUUGGACUUAUCUUACACCACUGGUUCUCCUGGGUCUCCAGCUUGCCAACUGCAGAUCUUGGGACUUCUCAGCUUCCAUAAUCACAUGAACCAAUUCCUUAUAAUAAAUCUCUUCAUUCAUAUAUAUAUACACACACACACACACACACACGUAUCUCCCAUUGGUUCUGCUUCUCUGGAGAACCCUGAAAAUAAGGAGACAUUAAUAAAUCAGGGAUUGAAAUAUUACAAUCUUCCCUGAAUCCAUAACCUGACCAAAUCAGCUAUGUUUUCUAUGAGAGAAGAGAGUCAUUGAAUCUCCCACUUGUUCAAAAUAUGGCCAGUGGCUCUAGAAAGCUCUCCAGUUGUACCUCUCUGCUGAGAAAAUCAGAGGCUGUGAAUGGAAAUGAGGAGACGGUGACAUGAGGGACAGGGAAAUGGGCCUAGCCCUAGCCUCUCCCACCUCCUGGCUCCUCCCACUCAGAAUGGCCCUUGGGAGAGCAAAGGACUCGGGCCCGGCUCCACAUCCCCUCUCCCAGCUUGGCCUGGGCUUACCCCCCAAGGUACUGCUGAGCUCCUAAAAAUAAAACCUAUCAUCAUUGGAGUGCUGUAGACGCCCUUUUACUGUGAUCGCGACCCAGAUCCCUGGAAGAGUCCCUCCCACUCAGACGUGCUUUGGUAAAACACCAGAAAACCCUCCAGCUGUCUUGCAGCUGCAUCUCCCAAGGAGGACCUCAGCCACAGAGAGAUCCUGACUCCUGUUUACCUGCACAGCCUCUGUUUUUGUCCAGGCAACAGGGUCCUGGGGCCGACAGGAGGGUGGAGGAGGGGCCACAGGACACAGACCCAAGCCUGAACUGAGAGGAGCUGAGAGUCCUGCCUGAGAGACUGGGUAUCACCUGGCAUCUACACCCAGGGGCCAGCCGUGUCUGGGGGUUCCUUUAUGGGGUCCUUAUGGGGUGGGGGCUCCAGCUGGUACAGAUUAUAUAGCUCACCUAGGCACUAUUGCCAAGACUUAAAACAAUAAGAAUACUAAGCAGGGCUUGAGAAUUCCUUCCUAGCCUUUGAAGCUCAGCAGCUAAGUACACAGAUUUUCAUAUCCCAACUCCACUUUGUUAGCUGUGCAGCUUUGAGCGAGUUAAGUAACCUCUCUGAGGCUUACUUAAUGAACCUAGUUAUGAGGAGUAGACUAGACUAGAUAGUAAAAAGUUUAGCUCAGUACUUAAUAGAGUUAAUGCUCAAUAAAAUUUUGUUAUCAUUUUCUUAUUUUAGAUCAUCAGCACUUUUCACCAGAUUUAUCAAUACCCAGGAGCUGACACAUGACUUUAGAGCCUUGGCAAUAACAUCACCCUGUCCAUAAAAAUGGUGCAGAAAUGAGUCUGUGACCCACCAGAGCAUUUCAACUGGGAAAAACCCAAGAGAAACCAUAUGAAGUUCCCAUUUCAUUUGUACUCUCACUCAUUCAUUCAACAAACACUUAUCAUGCCAACUAUGUCCCAGCCCAGGCUCUCAAGGAACUCACAGCUGGGAGGAGGAAACAGACAAUACUCUGUGAGGAGUCUCAAGAUCAAGAUCAGCCCUGAGCCCUAUCACAGCCCAGAGGAGGAAGAUACAGCCCAGACUUGGGCAUAGGGAGUGGUCAGGGAAGGCUUCCUGAAGGAGAACUGGCUCAUGUGAUGAUGGAAGCAGGCAAGGGUGGACCAUCAGGCUGGAGACCCAGGGAAAAGUCAAUGUUACGGUUCAAGUCCAAAGGCUGUCUGCUGGCAAAAUCUCCUCUUGCUCAGGAGAGGUCAAUCUUCUGUUCUAUUUAGGCCUUCAACUGAUUGGAUGAGGCCCACCCCCAUCAGGAAGAGCAAUCUACUUAUUCAAAGUCCACUGAUUUAAAUGUUAAUCUCAGUACACCCAAAACUAAUAGUACACUGUAUGUUAACUAAUUGGAAUUUAAAUAAAAACUUAAAAAUAAAUAAAUAAAUAAUAAAUGUUAAUCUUGCCCAAAAUACCCUCACUGAGACAUCCAGCAUAGUGUAUGACCACAUACCUGGGCACCAUGGCCUAGACAAGUUGACAAUCCCAGGCAUGCCUCCAUGAACAUGUCAUUUUGCAGGGGACAUGGCUUAUGCAAGCAGAGAAGGGCACUGCACAAGCACAUAUAUACGGGGACUUGGCCACACCGGCUGUGUUGUCCGCUACCUGUCCCUGAACCAGACCUGAACCUGGCUCCUGGGAGACAGAGCAGCCAGACAUACACCCAGCAGCUGCAACCACUCAGCUGAGGAAGGGUGGCCUCUCAAUUGCAGGUGGCAGGUUCCAGCCAGAGCCCCUGCCACUGGGUCCCCGGACUCAGUGACUGUUCCUCUGCCCAUCCCCUGCAAGAAGGGAAAGGAAAAUGGGAAUGAAACGGUCUGUGACGGUCUCUGCAGCAGGUGAGGCUCACACUUGGGGGCAUCUCCAGGGCUAAGGGGAGAGCUAGGGCUCGCUUCUCCUGCAGUGUUAAGUGUCUGGUUCCAGCCUGGGCCGGUGGACUAUUUUGAGGCCAGUGGGUGCUCCCAGAGGGGUGGGAAGAAAUGGAUCAAGGGUAUGGGUCCAUCUGUGUGGACAUUGGCUAUGGCUCCUCUAGAAAUCCAAGCAUCUCAGUGGCAGGAACUCUGACCCUGAUUUUAGAAAACCAGGUCCCAGUGGCCCGAAAGUGGGCCUGGUCUGUGAGGACAGAAGACUGGGGUCUAAACACAUGAACUGACGGCCAGGAUGCAGAAUGCAGAGGGGAAGCCGCCUCCCCUUUGGUGAAAAAUCAAUGCUGGUGUCGGGACUCCCCAUUGACAGCUUGAUUAGAAA